AAUCACCGCGCGCGCAUGCGCGGUAGUUCUGGUCUUCAAAAGCCGUGCCCCGACCAUUGAAACCAAUUGCGCGACCGUCAAAGGGCCGCGAGAGGUGGACGCCCGGUUGUGUACUCCUUAGAGUCAGGACUGUCCAUUUUAUUUGGAAAAUGCCUGGCACAUAGCAGGCACUACAGUCAUUAAUCUCUGUAGAUGUCAUUACAUUAAACGCAUCACUGGACAUUGGCAACACCAGGAGGGAUGAGCUGGAGUGCCGAUGAGAAGCGCAGUCAAGAAAGUAACUGAAAUACUUUCUUGAUAAGGCCAGCCCACAACAUUUUGGCACCUGAGGCAGGGAGCUCAAAUGACGCCCCCAAGCCCCUUCGCUUGGGCCAAAUCUUUGAAAGGUCUCAGUUCUGUCUUCUUCCUGUUCUAGUCCUCUCAUGGUACUGCUCUGCUACCUACCCCAGUAAAGGAGAACUAACAACUUAAAAUGCCUCAUUCAAAAAUUCCACUGGAUCAUGUUAUACCUUUCUCUGCUAGACUGAAGAGCUCAUCAUCAAAUAUUUGUUUCCCAUGUAGAUACUUAGAGACUGUAAUCAAGUCAUCCCUUUGUGACGCUGCACUCCAUAUGUUAUGAAAAUAUAUUUAGAAGUGUGAAUAUAAUGUAACUGGAAUAUGCUUUAUGCAAAAGGUCUCUUGUAAGGUAUCUUACAAAGCUUAUAAUCUACUGACUGUGUUCAUCCUAUUUGCUUGAAUGUAUCAUUCUUGUAUCUGAAGCUAGAAAUAUAAAGUAUUACUCUGAAGUCCUAGCGUAACUAUGCAAAGUGUGGGCCAUUAAUGGUGGCUUGAAAUCUUGAUAUCUCUCAUUAACUAGGACAAUUAGUUGUAAAUCACUCUGUUUACAUGUAAGCCUUCCUGUACAUGUGGGUGCUAGCCAGUGAGUAAUGAAGUCUCACAGGACAUGUGAACAUGUCACAUGAUACUGGAAUCCAUCACCUGGUACUUUUCUAUUUACAAGGAAGGGUGGAAACCCAGAGAGAGACAAAGGAUUCCUGCAUUGUGCCAAAGAUAUAAAAGGGGACGGAACAGAACAAAGUGGGUCCCACUCAUGUGAAAUCCCCUGCUUUUCACGUAAGAUGCCUGCUGGAACUAACAAGAACUGUACCAGGGAAAGGAUUGGGCCCAGACUAGGAAGAAGUCUAGUCUGUGAAUUAAACUUAUUGGAACAUCUCUAAGGGUGAGCUUUACCUGUAUUCUGUUUCUAAAUGUAUUAGGCUUAAACUUGCGUGUUUUGUUUUAUUUUACUUGGUGUCUUACUUUGUUCUGUCUGUUCUUACUUGAAACCACUUAAAUUCUAUUUUUUAUUCUUAAUAAAAUCACUUUUGUUUAUUAUUGAA